rnacentral:rRNA from 1 species
UACGUAGGGCGCGAGCGUUGUCCGGAAUUAUUGGGCGUAAAGAGCUCGUAGGCGGUUUGUUGCGUCUAUCGUGAAAACCUGCGGCUUAACUGUGGGCUUGCGGUGGAUACGGGCAGACUUGAGUUCGGUAGGGGAGACUGGAAUUCCUGGUGUAGCGGUGAAAUGCGCAGAUAUCAGGAGGAACACCGAUGGCGAAGGCAGGUCUCUGGGCCAUAACUGACGCUGAGAAGCGAAAGCAUGGGGAGCGAACAGG